AUACGAAGGGUGCAAGCGUUAAUCGGAAUUACUGGGCGUAAAGCGUGCGCAGGCGGUUUUGUAAGUCAGUGGUGAAAUCCCCGGGCUCAACCUGGGAACUGCCAUUGUGACUGCAAGGCUGGAGUGCGGCAGAGGGGGGUGGAAUUCCGCGUGUAGCAGUGAAAUGCGUAGAUAUGCGGAGGAACACCGAUGGCGAAGGCAAUCCCCUGGGCCUGCACUGACGCUCAUGCACGAAAGCGUGGGGAGCAAACAGGAUUAGAUACCCUGGUAGUCCACGCCCUAAACGAUGUCAACUGGUUGUUGGGGAUUUAUUUUCUCAGUAACGAAGCUAACGCGUGAAGUUGACCGCCUGGGGAGUACGGCCGCAAGGUUAAAACUCAAAGGAAUUGACGGGG
rnacentral:rRNA from 1 species